rnacentral:rRNA from 1 species
GAUGAACGCUGGCGGCGUGCUUAACACAUGCAAGUCGAACGGAAAGGCCGAAGCUUUCUUCGUUACUCGAGUGGCGAACGGGUGAGUAACACGUGGGUGUUCUGCCCUGUACUUCGGGAUAAGCUUGGGAAACUGGGUCUAAUAUCGGAUAUGACGAUUUCUUGGGUGGGGUUGUGGAAAGCUUUUGCGGUAUGGGAUGAGCUCGCGGCCUAUCCGCUUGUUGGUGGGGUAAUGGCCUACCAAGGCGUAGAGGGGUAGCCGGCCUGCGAGGGUGUACGGCCAGACUGGGACUGUGAGACAGGCAAGAGUCGGACAGGUGGCAGCAGUGGCGAAUAUUGGACAAUGCGAGCCAGCGUGAUGGAGGGAGGUCGCGUGAGCGAAGAAGGCUUUCGGGUUGGAAGCUCCUUUCGCUAUGGAAGAAGCCUUUUGGUGACGGUAGGUAGAGAAGAAGCCCCGGCUAACUACGUG